GAAACAAACAAAAAACCCAAGCAAACCUAGUAAGUAGAGGAAAAUAUUUUUGAAGAAUGUGUUUCAACAAGAGUAACCAGGGGAAAUUAUGCCAAAUAUCCUGAGAGGAGCGGACGGGGAAACCCGAUACAGUAAUAAGCCUCUAGUAGCGGUGGAUCAGUUCUACUACCAUGGGGUGGGGAUGGAAAUCGAGGACAAGGAGGAAGGUAUUCCUUGAACUGUAUAGCUAAAAACCUAAAAAACCGGGGCAAUUUAUAUUUGAUAUGCCCACAUGGACCAUGGGGCAGGUUUGAGUUAAGCCGGGGGCGGGGGCUUGAAAUGCAGAGGCUGCGGGGCAGAAAUUCAGAAAGUGGUAUAACGCCCUGAAAUGCCUCGGCGGAGGGAGCGGCUGUGCUUUGCCUACGGGUGGGAAUAUACUCAUGGGACGCCUGGGCGUCUCCCAAAAGAGCCCAAGGGGGAAAGGUGACGGCGACAAUGCUGCACGCGAGUCCCUACUCCACCUCCAUCACUAAGAGCACCAGACACACCCAGUACCGGAGCGCCAGCUGGCCUCUGGGUGGCGACCGCGAAAGUCUCAGCAGACGCCAGCGAAAACUUCUUGUUCCCGGCUCCCCUGGCCGCCAGUUCCGAGAUAACCUUCUCCUCCAGAGCCCAGAGGGGCGGACGGCUUGGGCGCGCGUCUCUGCACACCGGAGGGAGCAAGGGAAGCGGGGUCUGGGCGACAAUGCAGGAGAAAGCCCUGUGCUGUGCAUGCGCCUAGGGACGGGGACCAAGGCGGGUGGGGAAGCAGAGCGGCCGGAAAGGCACUGGCGCCCGAAACUACUACUACAAAGAGCAGUCACGAGCCACCGAAAGUCACGUGAUAGCACAGCCGUAGCCGUCACGUGGCCCUCGGGGCGGGGCCUGUGGUAGGUUACAAUCUCGUAGCGAGUCCCGUGCGCCCCGGUGAAGGCUUCCGCAUCUUCAGCGGUACCUAGACUGGCGCUAUUUCCUUGAAUCGGCUUGCUCCCCGGAAAUGGGGACGUCCCUUCUUGCCAGAAAAGGAAGUUAGGCCGGAAGGAGAAGCAGGUGUCCGGGCCCCGCGCGGAAGCACGCCCCGCUGCAGACGUAGGACCCGCGGGUAUCCACGCGUGUCACAGAUGCAAGGUUCCGUUGCGGUCCUAGGGGGACGCUGCCGCGUCGUGACGUUAGAAUACGGUUUCCGGGGAAACGGGCUUUGCGGGCUGGCUGCAUCCCGAGUGAUCUUGAGGUUUCCUCCCUGGCGGGGCCUGGCCGCCUCUUGGCCGCGUUUCCCCAGUUCUGUGGUCGAGGUCCCUGCGGAGCUUUCGGGAAUGGAGAAGUCCAGGGAGGUACUUUGCCCAUAUGCAAAACGACUAAAAAUCUUAAAAGAGUCGUCCAAAAUCUCCCCACAAAGCAGACUCCAGGCAGCCCUGGCUCUUUGACAAGUCCAGCCAAACGUAAGGAAAACAGAAUUUCCAUCUUAAUCAAAUACUUCCAGGAGAUACUUUCAGGGUGGCCAUGAGUAUUUAUGAGCUUAUGCAGAAGGAAAUAAUGUCUUCCAAGGUAGCUGAGACCAGCUUCUGAUGCCCAGAAAUCUGAUGUGAAAAAGUGUUAUUUGUGGCUGAAGAAACACAGACUUCUCUCUCAGUUUCCUGAAACUCUCCCUCCUUCUUUCUCUCCUUUAAAACUCUUCUGCUAGGUAUGGAACUUUGGAGAUGGUCUUUGGACAUUAGCCUGCCGUCUUCCUGAAUAAAGCAAAAAUUCCUUUUCACCCAA